UACAGAGGUCUCAAGCGUUUGUUCGGAUUCAUUGGGCGUAAAGGGCGCGUAGGCGGCUUCGCAAGUCCGGGGUGAAAGCCCCCAGCUCAACUGGGGAAGUGCCUUGGAUACUGCGGGGCUCGAGGGAGGUAGGGGUGCGUGGAACUUCCGGUGGAGCGGUGAAAUGCGUUGAUAUUGGAAGGAACGCCGGUGGCGAAAGCGAGCUGCUGGACCUCUUCUGACGCUGAUGGCGCGAAAGCUAGGGGAGCAAACGGGG
rnacentral:rRNA from 1 species